GAUGAACUUAAGCCCCUGGAGUUUAGCCAUGACCCUCUUUCUAGUUUCAUCGAAUUGGUAACAGAUCUGUGACGCUCAGUGAAGUUGGAAGCUAUCACUGUUGUCCUGAACUAGUGGCACUAGACUCCUCCCCAGGGAACCAGCCGCAUCUAUUUAAGAUACACUUUUAGCGCACAGAUAGUACUAUGAGGACAAAGACACGGUUAAAGGAAUGUAGGCAUCCUCCAUGUAUUUGCCUGGCAUUGCAGUAACG